AGAUAUAUGACGUCUGCUUGUGCUUAUAUGCAGGGGCAAAAAUGAAGAUCAAAUCCGGAUAUACAACACAACAACUUUUGAGGUUUCCUCUUCUUUUUGGUGCAAUCCUGGGCACUUUUGUGCUGGGUUUUAUGUACAGAAAGGAGUACUUUAGAGACGAGAUCGAGGCUGUCAGGCAGAAAAAUUGUGAUGACUCAGUGCAAAGAAAAGAAAUCAUGGAACGAG